ensembl:snoRNA U3 Small nucleolar RNA U3
AAGACUAUGCUUUCAGGGAUCAUUUCUAUAGUUGUGAAAAACACUAAUAGGAGUAACAGGUGACACCUAUUGACUGCCAGGUAUUGUUCUAAGCACUUUGG